GAUUGGCAAGAGUGAGUGGGUCCGUGUGCUGUUAGUGUACCUGGCAUGUGGUAGACAUGAAUGGAAGCCUGUUGAGACAGUACAUGGGUUUUGUGAACAUAGGGCUAUUUCUGGUCCUCACAUGCUCCACACAGAUGUGGGAAACAAAUUGGUAGAGUCCUGGCAUUUCAUGUUGACAGCUGUCACUUAAUAUACCUGUAUGGUACGGUGUCACUGGAGCUGAACAGUAAGGAGACAAGCUCUGAAGAAUUGAAGACCCACUGCUGUGAGAUGAAGUGCUGCUCCAGGAGGAAAUGAAAAGGGAACCUUGCUGCAAGGACUUCUGUGACUGAUGAGUCCCUGGAUGGUACUGGAAGGCUUUUCUACUAAAGGCAAGAAGAUGUUUCUUCAAGCAGUAACAGUGUGGCUACUACCAGAUGGCCCAUGAUGCUCUUAUUUCACCAUGAAUCGAUCUCUUCAAGUAGCAGAUACCAACAGUGGGAGAGGGGAAGCCCAGCCAGUGAGGGUGAUGACUCUCUUGGACACUGUGCUAACAGGGACAUUUAGCUUUUUGCCCUGGGCAGACUUCUGUGGUACCCUAUUGGACUGGAUCUUUGUAAUAUAUUGCAAAAAUAGUUGGACAGUUCAACCAGAUGUAUCUUAACAUUUGUAAUCUUUGUACAGGGAGCACGAUGUAAGCCUUCUGUUUAGGUAUUGCAGACAAAGUAGUAAAGAAAGAUAAGGAGAU
rnacentral:lncRNA from 1 species